ACAGGGUGACAGGUGGUGCAUGGGUUGUCGUCAGCUCGUGUCGUGAGAUGUUGGGUUAAGUCCCGCAACGAGCGCAACCCUCGCCUCUAGUUGCCAGCAUUCGGUUGGGCACUCUAGAGGGACUGCCGGCGACAAGUCGGAGGAAGUGGGAUGACGUCAAAUCAUCAUGCCCCUUAUGACCUGGGCUACACACGUGCUACAAUGGGCGGUACAAAGGGCUGCGAACCCGCGAGGGGGAGCGAAUCCCAAAAAGCCGCUCUCAGUUCGGAUUGCAGGCUGCAACUCGCCUGCAUGAAGCCGGAAUCGCUAGUAAUCGCGGAUCAGCAUGCCGCGGUGAAUACGUUCCCGGGCCUU
rnacentral:rRNA from 1 species